rfam:Myotis davidii contig319489, whole genome shotgun sequence.
GGCAGUUCUCGGAUGCCACACCCCAGAAUCCAGCUCCCUCCUCUCUAGUUUCAGGUGAGUCACCCGAGAACUGCA